AACGAACGCUGGCGGCAUGCCUAACACAUGCAAGUCGAACGGGAUCCUAGCUUGCUAGGUGAGAGUGGCGGACGGGUGAGUAACACGUGGGAAUCUGCCUUUUGGGUUCGGGAUAACCGCGGGAACUGCGGCUAAUACCGAAUGCCCUCGAGAGAGGAAAGAUUAUCGCCAGAAGAGGAGCCCGCGUCCGAUUAGGUAGUUGGUGGGGUAAAGGCCUACCAAGCCGACGAUCGGUAGCUGGUCUGAGAGGAUGAUCAGCCACACUGGGACUGAGAUACGGCCCAGACUCCUACGGGAGGCAGCAGU
rnacentral:rRNA from 1 species